rnacentral:rRNA from 1 species
UACGGAGGGAGCUAGCGUUGUUCGGAAUUACUGGGCGUAAAGCGUGCGCAGGCGGCUUUGCAAGACAGAUGUGAAAUCCCCGGGCUCAACCUGGGAACUGCAUUUGUGACUGCAAGGCUAGAGUACGGCAGAGGGGGAUGGAAUUCCGCGUGUAGCAGUGAAAUGCGUAGAUAUGCGGAGGAACACCAAUGGCGAAGGCAAUCCCCUGGGCCUGUACUGACGCUCAUGCACGAAAGCGUGGGGAGCAAACAGG